AUGCAAAGUCCCAUCCAACUAUACCCAUUAAAAUUCAUUCAAAGUUCCAUCCAUGGAUUUUAUUCAAGAUUCAAGUUCUUUGCACACUCUCAAAAGUCAACAUAUGGUAAAUAUACAUUGUUUUAUUCCAAGGUUCAUGAACCAUUACAAACAUCAUCCAAACAUAUAUUCAAGAGUCAAUACCAUUACAUCAUAACCAUAAGGAAAAAUAUGCAAAAUCUUCAGUAA